rnacentral:rRNA from 1 species
UACCAGCACCCCGAGUGGUCGGGACGAUUAUUGGGCCUAAAGCAUCCGUAGCCGGUUCUACAAGUCUUCCGUUAAAUCCACCUGCUUAACAGUUGGGCUGCAGAGGAUACUAUAGAGCUAGGAGGCGGGAGAGGCAAGCGGUACUUAGUGGGUAGGGGUAAAAUCCGUUGAUCCACUGAAGACCACCAGUGGCGAAGGCGGCUUGCCAGAACGCGCUCGACGGUGAGGGAUGAAAGCUGGGGGAGCAAACAGG